rnacentral:miRNA from 15 species
CCCGCCGGGAGAUGAAUGUCA